rnacentral:rRNA from 1 species
CCUACGGGGGGCAGCAGUGGGGAAUAUUGGGCAAUGGGCGCAAGCCUGACUCAGCAACGCCGCGUGAAGGAAGAAGGCUUUCGGGUUGUAAACUUCUUUUCUCAGGGACGAAGCAAGUGACGGUACCUGAGGAAUAAGCCACGGCUAACUACGUGCCAGCAGCCGCGGUAAUACGUAGGUGGCAAGCGUUAUCCGGAUUUACUGGGUGUAAAGGGAGCGCAGGCGGGAAGCCAAGUCAGCUGUGAAAACUACGGGCUUAACUUGUAGACUGUAGUUGAAACUGGUUUCCUUGAGUGAAGUAGAGG